GACAGCAGUCGCCGCGGUAAUACGUAGGUCCCGAGCGUUGUCCGGAUUUAUUGGGCGUAAAGCGAGCGCAGGCGGUUAGAUAAGUCUGAAGUUAAAGGCUGUGGCUUAACCAUAGUACGCUUUGGAAACUGUUUUACUUGAGUGCAAGAGGGGAGAGUGGAAUUCCAUGUGUAGCGGUGAAAUGCGUAGAUAUAUGGAGGAACACCAGUGGCGAAGGCGACUCUCUGGUCUGUAACUGACGCUGUGGCUCGAAAGCGUGGGUAGCAAACAGGAUUAGAUACCCCUGUAGUCCCUGUCUCUUAUACA
rnacentral:rRNA from 1 species